AGAGUUUGAUCMUGGCUCAGAACGAACGCUGGCGGCGUGGAUUAGGCAUGCAAGUCGUGCGAUCCUUCGGGAUAGCGGCAAAAGGGUGAGUAACGCGUGGGUAAUCUACCCUCAAGUUAAGGAUAACACCGAGAAAUUGGUGCUAAUACUUUAUGUGACCACAAGCACACAAGUGCAUGAGGUAAAAGGUGGGGACCUUCGGGCCUACCACUCGAGGAGGAACCCGCGUCCUAUUAGCUAGUUGGUGAGGUAACGGCUCACCAAGGCGAAGAUGGGUAGCUGGUCUGAGAGGAUGGUCAGCCACACUGGGACUGAGACACUGCCCAGACUCCUACGGGAGGCUGCAGUCGAGAAUCUUUUGCAAUGGGGGAAACCCUGACAAUGCGACGCCGCGUGAGCGAUGAAGGCCCUCGGGUUGUAAAGCUCUGUUUGCCUGGAAGAAAGACUUUGACCGAACAGAUCAAAGGGAUGACGGUACAGGCAGAGGAAGUCACGGCUAACUCCGUGCCAGCAGCCGCGGUAAUA
rnacentral:rRNA from 1 species